UGCAUUUCCAUGGCGGCACCAUACUAAAACUGGAACGAUACAGAGAAGAUUAGCAUGGCCCCUGCGCAAGGAUGACACACAAAUUUGUGCGUGAAGCGUUCCAUAUUUUU
ensembl:snRNA U6 U6 spliceosomal RNA